GUGGGACUCCUACGGGAGGCAGCAGUGGGACUCCUACGGGAGGCAGCAGUGGGACAGCUGGCUCAGAACGAACGCUGGCGGCCCACUCCUACGGGAGGCAGCAGUGGGACUCCUACGGGAGGCAGCAGUGGGCCCCACUCCUACGGGAGGCAGCAGUGGGACAGUUGGCUCAGAACGAACGCUGGCGGCUGGCUCAGAACNAGCAAAGGCGGCCCACUCCUACGGGAGGCAGCAGUGGGACUCCUACGUACCGCAGCAGUGGACUCCUACGGGAGGCAGUUCGACCUUGUGAUAACUCGAGCCA
rnacentral:misc_RNA from 1 species